UACGGGAGGCAGCAGUGGGGAAUCUUGCGCAAUGGCCGAAAGGCUGACGCAGCGACGCCGCGUGUGGGAUGACGGCCUUCGGGUUGUAAACCACUGUCGGGAGGGACGAAGCUCUGACGGUACCUCCAAAGGAAGCACCGGCUAACUCUGUGCCAGCAGCCGCGGUAAUACAGAGGGUGCGAGCGUUGUCCGGAAUCACUGGGCGUAAAGGGCGCGUAGGCGGCCUGGUAAGUCGGGGGUGAAACGCUGGGGCUCAACCCCAGCACUGCCUUCGAGACUGUCAGGCUUGAGCACGGUAGAGGCUGGUGGAAUUCCCGGUGUAGCGGUGGAAUGCGUAGAGAUCGGGAAGAACAUCGGUGGCGAAGGCGGCCAGCUGGGCCGUUGCUGACGCUGAGGCGCGACAGCGUGGGGAGCAAACAGGAUUAGAUACCCUGGUAGUCCACGCCGUAAACGAUGGGUACUAGGCGUCGGGGGGAGCGACCCCCUCGGUGCCGUCGUUAACACAGUAAGUACCCCGCCUGGGGAGUACGGUCGCAAGACUGAAACUCAAAGGAAUUGAC
rnacentral:rRNA from 1 species